rnacentral:rRNA from 1 species
AUUGAACGCUGGCGGCAGGCCUAACACAUGCAAGUCGAGCGGAAACAGGAAGAAGCUUGCUUCUUUGCUGACGAGUGGCGGGCGGGUGAGAAAUGUCUGGGAAACUGCCUGAUGGAGGGGGAUAACUCCUGGAAACGGUAGCUAAUACCGCAUAACGUCGCAAGAGCAAAGAGGGGGAGCUUCAGGCCUCUUGCCAUCGGCUGUGCCCAGAUGGGAUUAGCUAGUAGGUGGGGUAACGGCUUACCGAGGCGACGAUCCCUAGCUGGUCUGAGAGGAUGACCAGCCACACUGGAACUGAGACACGGUCCAGACUCCUACGGGAGGCAGCAGUGGGGAAUAUUGCACAAUGGGCGCAAGCCUGAUGCAGCCAUGCCGCGUGUAUGAAGAAGGCCUUCGGGUUGUAAAGUACUUUCAGCGGGGAGGAAGAGAGGUGUGUUAAUCCCUGCGCUCAUUGACGUUACCCGAAGAAGAAGCCCCGGCUAACUCCGUG